GCGUAAUGAUUUGAGCACUGUCUCGGCAAUAAAUCCGGUGAAAUUGUAGUGCAAGUGAAGAUGCUUGCUACCCGCGGUUGGACGGAAAGACCCCGUAGAGCUUUACUGUAGCUUAGCAUUGAAUUUCGGUAUUGUCUGUACAGGAUAGGUGGGAGACUUAGAAGCGAGGGCGUCAGCUUUCGUGGAGUCGUCCUUGGGAUACCACCCUGACAGUACUGGAAUUCUAACUGGAGGCCAUGAAUCUGGUCACAGGACAUUGCUAGGUGGGCAGUUUGACUGGGGCGGUCGCCUCCUAAAAGGUAACGGAGGCGCCCAAAGGUUCCCUCAGCGCGGUCGGAAAUCGCGCGUAGAGUGCAAAGGCAGAAGGGAGCCUGACUGCGACACAUACAGGUGGAGCAGGGACGAAAGUCGGGCUUAGUGAUCCGGUGGUUCUGUAUGGAAGGGCCAUCGCUCAACGGAUAAAAGCUACCUCGGGGAUAACAGGCUGAUCUCCCCCAAGAGUCCACAUCGACGGGGAGGUUUGGCACCUCGAUGUCGGCUCGUCGCAUCCUGGGGCUGUAGUCGGUCCCAAGGGUUGGGCGGUUCGCCCAUUAAAGCGGCACGCGAGCUGGGUGCAGAACGUCGUGAGACAGUUCGGUCCCUAUCCGCCGUGGGCGUAGGAAAUUUGAGAGGAGCUGUCCUUAGUACGAGAGGAC
rnacentral:rRNA from 1 species